AAAAUAAGUCUUCAUCUGAGCCUUCUUGAGGACAAGCUGAUCAACAAUCUUCUUCCAAGCAACGGAAGGCUGAGGCAUACUAGAGGAAGAUGAAAGCUCUGUCUCUCUCUGUCUCUUCACUACUCGGUCCUUAAGAAGCUCAAUAAGUGCAUCUUUGUCCUUACACUUAAGCUGCAACUCCUCAUGCUUUCUGCUAAAAG
rnacentral:lncRNA from 1 species